rnacentral:rRNA from 1 species
UACGGAGGAUCCAAGCGUUGUCCGGAUUUAUUGGGUUUAAAGGGUGCGUAGGCGGAUAAUUAAGUCAGUGGUGAAAUCUUGCGGCUCAACCGUAAAAUUGCCAUUGAAACUGAUUAUCUUGAGUACAGUUGAGGUGGGCGGAAUGUAUCAUGUAGCGGUGAAAUGCUUAGAUAUGAUACAGAACACCUAUUGCGAAAGCAGCUCACUAAACUGCCACUGACGCUGAGGCACGAAAGCGUGGGGAUCAAACAGG